AAUUGUGAAUUGUGAUCUACACACGUUGAAGGAAUGGAGUUCGGAAUUAUUCCCUUUUGGCCUUUUUUUUAGUUGAGCUACAAAGUCAUUACUUACUGUAUUACUUGUUCAAUAUAUGCAGGUGCUGAGAUAAAAAGUGGAGGCUCCCUGAAGGUGAACCCUUGGUAGAGGCAAGAUGUUGCAUCUAUCGCAGAUGAAAUAGGAGAUUUUUGUCUUUCUCAACUUCACUGUAUGUUUGUCUGACAUCAAUUUUUGUAAUAUUUCAUUGCUUGAUCCUUUUGGUAGGUCUGUAUUGGGGAGAUCAAGAAGGACAAAGGAAAUGAUUAUAUUCGCCUUUAUGUUCAUAAGAAUGGUCAAAAGUUUAUUGCUGGAAUGCUUUCCCUUGAAAGGAUUCCUCAAGUAACUCUUGAUCUAAUAUUUGAAGAUGAGUUUGACCUGUCUCAUGAUUUGAAACAAGGAAGUGUACACAUUAUUGGAUAUAGAGUUGAUGAUUCUAAAUCAUAUCCUUUAUAGCUUCCAAGAUCAUAUUCAAUUUUGAUUUUCUUCCUUAUUUUGGCUUCAAUUUUUCUUUUGAUUAUUCAUAGUGGUAUAUCCUGUUGCAAUAAUCAUAGUGUGCUUUCUUGUAUCCUCCUUGACCUUGUCUGUCAUUUACAUCCACUGAUGAGGAUGUAUCUGGUAAGAAUUUCACCUUCAGUAUGAGUUUCCAUACCUUCUGUCUCAUAUUUUAAUAUUCAGAGGAUGAUCUUGAGGAGCUUGUGCCAAUUGAAGCCUUGAACAAUGGAAAGCCCGAAGCAAAUGAUUUAAAGCCUUCAAGGUCCAAACCCAAUGCAGGUUUGAAAUUUGAAAAGGCAGAAGGUACGUCAAAGGUGAAGAUUGUGGAGCCUAGCAAAGAUGCCAAAAAGAAUGUGGAGGAUGACAAACUGAGGAUGAUGAAAAUGACGAUGAGGAUGAUGAAUCAUUUGAGGAUGAGGGUGAAGCAGAUGAGGUAAUUUGCUUUUUAUAUUUAAUUACUUGGAGGCUAUGUUAACUUCAGAAACCUAAGUGCUUGGUUUUUGAUUUUAUUGGGUCAAUGUGCCUGAAGAACAAUGUAUUAUUAUCAUAUACUUUCUUAUUGAGUACUUUUAUUGUUUUAUGACUAUUCAUCCCACUUGAUAUUAUGAUAGUGCUUGCAUAUUAAGGUAUUUUGUUUAUUUGAUUAUUGUAAGGCCAAUUGCUGUAUUGCUAGAUCUUCCCAAUGUCCUUCUUAUGUUUAUUGGUUAGAUUUGGUUCGCUCUAAUGUGUUCCAUGUAAUGCUUUGCUAAAGUGAUAAGUGAACUUCAGCUUUGUUUCUUGGGAUAUUGUAUACUGUUUAAUAUUUCCCUGUAUGUCUUUGCCAAUGCCAUCCUCUGCUUCUAGAUUUUGGAGACAUGUGUUAGGAUUUCUACCUUCAACAAACCACAAUAGCGAAGAUUUGAUUUGUAAAUUUGAAAUGUAUUCAUGUUGCGGUAUGGCUGAGUUAUAAAAGUAAAGUGUAUUGUUGAGUCACACUACUACAAAAUUGGCCAAAGAGACCCGUCCAAAUUGGCCAAAGAGACUGCCUUAGAGGCGGAAAAAAAUGAGACCGCCUAACUAAGAUAGGCAUUCUCAUUUUAUAAAAAAAUUAGACCGCCUAUUUAAAAUAGGUAGUCUCAUUUUUCAGAAAAAAUGAGAUCGCUUAUUUAACUAAACAGGUCUCAUUGGCCUCAUUUUAAAAAAAAAUUAUUUUAAUUCUAAAAUAUAACUUACUGUAUUUUUAUUUUUAAGAUUAUCGAAUACGUACGGAAUACAAAUAAUUAUUAAAUUUCAUAUAUACCUCAAAAUUACAAACUUAAUACAAAUAUCAAUGAAAUCCAACACUAAAAAAACACUGUAAAUGUUAACUUCAACUCUUCAAGCUUCAAAGAUUUUCAAUUAUAAAUUUCUUCACUUCAAACUUGUAGAUCUUUACCUGAAACCACAAAUACAAAGACAUAAAAAAAAGUUACAAAAACAUAAAUUAACCUCCUGAACAAUAAAUCAAAACAAUUUUGUUAAAAUGCUAUAACAAUUAAACAAGGAAAAAAACUGUAAAUCACUCUAAACCCUAAAUCUCUUAUAACUAAUAUAAUGAAAAACUUAUAACUAAUGAAAUAAGAGAUCUAAAGUAAAAUUUUGUUAAAAUGAUGACUAAACAUAAAAUCAAAGCAAAGAAUCUCCACAUGAUACUCACAAGUGACAACCUUAAUUCAAAAAACCCCAAGACUAAAUAAAAUUUUAAAAAAGAAAUAUUUAAAGAAAAAUUAAAGAUAAGACUAAAAACUUACAGAAAUCCCAUUAUCAACUAAUGAAGCAAAAUCUAGCAGCAAAAUGUAAAAAUAUAUCAAAAUAAAAAUUGAAUUAAAAGACGAAAAAUUGAGGAAAAAAAGGAAGAUGUUAGUAAAAUUUUAUAAAUCUUGAAAUUGGCAUGAAAAAUUCAAGAAGAAAUAACAAAAUCAAGAACAAAAUUCAUAAAAAAAAAAAAAAAAGAAAUAGAAGAGGAACCAGCCUUCUCCGUGCCUUGCAUGCUCGAUCUAGUCGGUUUAACGAAAGAAAUAACAAAAUCAAACCAAAUCAACUAAAUCGAAUUUCCGAACAAAACCACAACGAAGCAAAUUGAUUAUUUUCAAACAAAAGAAAUCUGAAUCGAAGAGAUUGAGUUUUCGAACCAAAAUCAAACUGAAUCGAACAAAUACAAAGAAAUCGAGAAUAAUAAAAUGAGAUUGGAGAUAAGAUCAUCCACAAAAAAACCCCUAAAAAUCUUGUGGAUGUGCUAUGUGCUUACAGGAAUUAUUGCCUUAAAGAAGAAAGAAUGGAGGAAAGAGAGGAUGGAGAAGAAGGGGGAGAAAAGAUGGAGGCGCGGAAAUGAACUGAGGAAAGUUGAAGCAAUUAGGGUUUUAUUU